AUCGUUCAACUUAUUAUACAAUAAGUCGGAAGUAAGCUAAAGCUGAAGGAACGCGCA
rnacentral:ncRNA from 10 species